UACUUGCUUUUACAAGGCGAAACCGCGAAUGGCUCAUUAAAUCAGUUAUGGUUCACUAGAUCGUAAAUUUUACACGGAUAACUGUGGUAAUUCUAGAGCUAAUACGUGCAACCAGCUCGCUUCCUUGUGGAGCGAGCGCAGUUAUUAGAACAAGACCAAUCCGGCCUUCGGGUCGGUACAAUUGGUGACUCUGAAUAACCGAAGCGGAGCGCAUGGUCUCGUACCGGCGCCAGAUCUUUCAAGUGUCUGACUUAUCAGCUUGUUGUUAGGUUAUGUUCCUAACAAGGCUUCAACGGGUAACGGGGUAUCAGGGUCCGAUACCGGAGAGGGAGCCUGAGAAACGGCUACCACAUCCAAGGAAGGCAGCAGGCGCGCAAAUUACCCACUCCUAGCACAGGGAGGUAGUGACGAAAAAUAACGAUGCGGGGUCUUAUAGAUUCCCGUAAUCGGAAUGGGUACACUUUAAAUCCUUUAACGAGGAUCUAUUGGAGGGCAAGUCUGGUGCCAGCAGCCGCGGUAAUUCCAGCUCCAAUAGCGUAUAUUAAAGUUGCUGCGGUUAAAAAGCUCGUAGUUGGAUCUGGGCUUCUGAAUGGAUGGUGCGCUUUUC
rnacentral:rRNA from 1 species